ensembl:lncRNA
CACAGAUCAGCCAUACUGGUCUUCAGAAAAGUCUGCAGGCUGGCUUAUCAUCUAGCUCACCAUCAGAGAUCCAUGUCCUUUCAGAAUCCAUGUCCUCCAUGUCCUCUGGAUUAGUGGAAACCUUUGUCAAAGGAAUGGCGACUAUUUUCCAGAAAAAUGAGUCCACUGACACUGUGCUACUGGAAAGAAGUGGGAGACUUUCGCAGUGCUCCCACGGGGGCUCCCAACUGGAUGAUACUGAAUUGAGUGUUAAAAUAUCAGAGGAGAAGCUUUGGUCAACAGCUAAGACCAUCUGUGUCAGUAUGAAGAACACACUUAAGAAUUUCUUCACAGGGCUGAAACCACCCGGAUCCGAAAGGACAGAAAAUGAUUCUUCCAAAGAGACCCUUGGGGAAAUCCUGGUUGCUAUCCAGAGUGAAAGUUCAAACUUAGGGGGACGAAUGAAGGAUUCCAGGGAGCUCCUUCAGAUCAAAGAUAUGGUAGGAACUAUGCUGAAGGAGGUUGAGAAAAGUGAGAAUGACAGUGAACAAGUCUGCCAAGACAUCCCUAGAACCUGUUCAUCUUUGUCCACUUCUUUAAAUGGUCGUAGUUCCUUGUCCAGCUCUUCAAAGAGUCCUAGGUCAGAGUGUGAGUUAGAGAUCAACCUCCCUGGCACUCCCAUCCCUGACGAAGUGCCUUUUGAUCUGACCUGCCCCAUCGUCAGGAGCUCCUGCAUCGACACCAGGGUCUCUAAAAUACCAGAGAUUUCUUCAAGUGACCUAAAGACAAAGAUGAUGGCACACACAGAUGAACCCCUGUAUCGUAACAGUCCAAUGACUGACAGCAGUCGACCACCGAGUGCUAAAGCCUCUUUUCGAUCCUCCACUCCGUCUUUCACCAGCAAGGGAACCUCUUUGGUACCAAAGGGAGAUGGGAUUGACAUUGAAGAGAAGGAGGAGUGUAUCCCCAGCAGCUCUGGCCAUCUGAGGGAGCUCUUAAUCACCCCGGACAUCAGCAGUGCCACUGCAUUCCCACUGCAGUACUUGAUGGACUCCAGCAAAGAUGAUGGCAUCUGUUUUGUCACCAUACUGGUGAUAAGGUUGCUAUCGGAGAUCAGACCCUCAACCCUAGAUGGACCCUCCCAACAGGUAGCAGAUCUGACAGAAACAUCUCAGCAACUCAUCAGACAAGUCCUGUCUGAGUUCUGUGCUGCAUCUAGAUUCUCCAGGACACAGGCAUAUUCCCAGAACCUGAACAUCCAAAGGGUGUUCAGAGGUGUACAUAAAAACCUCAUGGAGGAGUUUGGCUCUUAUAACACCCUGCAAGCAGCUAUUUCCUCCCAGGACCCUGCAUUUGACAGAGUCCUGGUAAAGUCCUUGACCCAGCAGCUGGUACAGGGAUGCAAGGAGGCAUCAAGACCAGCUUUUGCUGCAACAAACCCAUCAGACCAGGCUGAGACAGAGAGGGGGGCUGAGCAGAAAGCAAGAAGGAGCUUCCUUUGCUUUUCAAUGACCAAACUCAGGAUCAACUUCAAGCGUUCCAAGAGAGGAAACAAAAAGGACUGCCAUUCAGUCC